AAUGGCCGCUUGAACGUGCAUUGCGCUCUUGGGAUAUGCCUGAGAGCAUGUCUGCUUCAGUGCUUCUAC
rnacentral:rRNA from 1 species